GCCAUUGGCAGCCGCAUCGUGUGAUGCAACGCUCUCCACCGUCCUAACAAAGACUGUCGGACCUACAACGAAUGCGGCAUUCGCAGCCAUGUUCCCCACACUCGUGACACCAGCAAGUUUCGUAUUUUUGGUAUGGCCACUCAUUGCAGUAUUACAACUUGUGACUGUAUCUGUAUCGGCAUUG
rnacentral:rRNA from 1 species